rnacentral:lncRNA from 1 species
AUGUAUUUAUUGAAAAAAAAAUCCACAUAGAAUGGACCCAUUCAGUCCAAACCCACGUUGUUCAAGGGUAAACUGUGUAUUCUCUUUUCUCCCUCAAAUAUAAAUGUUAGUGCUCUGUAUAUGCUUUUUUUUCGCUUGGAGAGGCAUACGAAGUUCCCAGGCUAGGGGUCAAAUUGGAGCCAGAAUGAGGUGACAAGGGCAGGGCAGCCAGAGCACUUGGUUUUGAGGGACGAGAGAAUGCUUCCAGGGAGCACAGAGGCGAUAAACUUUUCACCAAGACCCCAAAACUGGGAGACAACAUAAAACAGAGCUAUCACAUUGCCUUCUUUUCAGAAGCUGUUUUCUUCUUAAUUGACUCCCUUCCUCAGAGAAGACAGCCUUAUGAUUCUGAGAAUUUGGGUGCAAGAAUAUAUAAUUCUAUUCUUUCCUGUAGCUGUGUGUAUCCCACCCCUGGAGCAGUCUACCGAUAAUUCCUUGCAUCCUUUUCACAUGGGGCUGCCAGGUCCACUUAACCAACAAAUUGUGCUUCUUUAGCUGAAAAUAAAAGCAUCUUGCCAACUACCAUCCUAAUACUCUUCUGUUCCCAGCAGGUAUUUACCACACCCCUUGAGAGUCUAACAGAUAGAUCUAUUAAAAAUAACAGUGUUGUAGGUUAGUGGAAGGUAUGAUUAAAUAACACAAUUGAUUUUUUUUUUAAUGAAUGCACUAGAACUUUUCUCUUUAAUUCACACGAACAAUGCCUCCAUCAAAGUAAUGCCCUUAGAAGACUAUUUAUUUAUUGUAAUGAUUCCUCUGACCAACACAUUUUAAAAGUUCUUUUAUUAAUAUUUUCUACAGCAUCAUUGGAUAGAGUAUUGAUUUAACUUAGCUGCCUUUGGCCUGUGAUGCAAAUAUGCUGUGUUAAAUAAAACUGUCCCUCUUUUUCUUCCUUUUCCUCUUUCUAUAUACAACAGAAAAUAAAACUCAGAGGACUCUCCUCUGCUUCUUUGAAUAGCAAAGAGCUCUGCUCACUGGGGAGUAGGCUGUCUUAGUUUGUAUUGAAUGCCAGGACUUCUGGGCUGGCCACCAUACCCGUGUCACCAACCAGCCUCAUGAGGGAUUCACCUCCCACCUUCCUUUUGGGGUGGUGGUGGAGGAAAGCAGUGCCAGGAAGAAUAACGCCUUUGGCUGUCUCAAGUUCCCUGGUCUGGUUAAGGAGAGGGUAUUUACUCAGGGGUAUGGUGGUACGUGGGGAAGCCAACCCCAUUAGUGUGGGCUGGUCAUCAGAAUGGGGACAAAGAUACAUUCUUCAUUUCUAGACUGUGGCUGGUCAACAUCAAGUGCCAGGAUUAAAAUUUCACCUUCACUGAGGGGUGGCUGUGCAGGCUGGCAAGGUCAGUGCUCCCACGGCCCUCAGCUAGUAUCUUCUCCAUCGCAUUGACCUCAACCCACUGUUUACAUCUCUGCUGCCCAUGGAGUUCCCAUCGUGGCUCAGUGAUUAACGAAUCCGACUAGGAACCAUGAGGUUGCAGGUUUGCUCCCUGGCCUCGCUCAGUGGGUUAAGGAUCCGGCGUUGCCAUGAGCUGUGGUGUAGGUCGCAGACAUGGCUCGGAUCCUGAGUUGCUGUGGCUCUGGCGUAGGCCGGCGGCUACAUCUCCUAUUGGACCCCUGGCCUGGGAACCUCCUUAUGCCUCGGGUGCGGCCCUAGAAAAGACAAAGGAAAGAAAAAAAAAUCCCUGCUGCCCUGCUAGACUCUGCCUCUCUGCUGUGAUUUGUUCAUCCCACUAUAUAGCACUUUUCUUACACACAAGUGAACAAUCAGCAGAUAUGGCUGCCCUUUUAAGCCCAUGUAAUUGGGCAUCUCAAUUCAAACUUGCUUUGGUCAGGGUAGGUCAUCUGAAUGUAAAAGGGCCACUCUGACCAGGAUCCUUUCAGCCAUUUGAUGGCCAUGGGGCUCUAAGAAAGAGCUCAUUCCCUAAGUGCUUGAGACCCCAGUCUACUGGGAGGUCAUGGACAGAAAGUUAGACAAGGCGGCAGGACUGCUGGGCACGGGGUCACCACCCAGAUAUGUGACUGAGGCAAGUUAUUUCAUUCCUCUGGAGCCAGAUGGCCUCGUCCUACAAUUCUCCUUAGUGUCAAGAGUUCUCCAGUCCUGCCUGUCGUCUUCCCUUUAAGGACAGUAGAGAAGCCUCCUGCUCCCACAGAAGUGUGUACAGGAAUUAAGUUGUCCAGGCAAACAAACCUUUGAAGGAAGAAUUUCUAUGCUGCUGUGAAUGGUUUACUCUGAGGACUCAGUGAGGUCUUAGAAAUCUUCAUUCAAUGACACAGAUAGAUAGACAGACUUUAAUCUGUGAGCCAAGAGAAAUGGUUUAUAAAGGCUAGAAGAAAAGAACCCCAUGGCUAAGAACUUGUAAAAACAUCUACCACAAACAAGAGUUCUAAGAGAAAGACUGUGAAUCAGCAGGAUCACAGGGAGGUAGAGAAUGAGCUUUGAAAUGGCAGAGAAUUAACUGGCUAAAGGGCAAAUGGUUGCAGAAUGCCACUGCAGGAGGUGACACAUAGGAUCCAAGCAGUACCUGGAAUCAACAGAGGACAACUAGACAUAGUUUCAUCCCAGGCCUGUGCCAAUGGGACAGACUAGACUACCAUACUAGCAUUUUCCAGAUGGGAAGCGGUACCACCGAGAUUUCUUAGUUUAGAAAGCCAAAAAACCCAAUCUUGGGAGGGAAAGAAGGAAGUGAGAGUGGGCAGGAAUGACAUUUUCCACUCCCUUCAAGGACAGUUCUGCACAAGCUACAAAGGCAAAGGCAGAAUGUAGACAGAAGCCCACCCCCACAGUCUCUGCCUUCUAGGAACUCUAGCCAGCAGGCGAGGAAGACAGGUCAACAAAACCCACCACCCAAGGUACUAUCAAGGAUAAAACUGGUACACACUUUACCAUUACAAAGCAUUUUACAUCAUGUCACUUAAUUCUCACACUGGUCAGUGGGCCAGAAGAAGAUUUAUGUAACUUGCCCAAGGCAUCUCAGUUGUGAUGCCAUUUGACCAAUUAUAGGAAUUUCACAUACUAUUGUAGGAACUAUAAGAGAGAGUCUGAAGUCACAGAGGUUUCCAAGGACAAUAAUGCCCAUAGGAGAGACAGGCACCAUGCUGGUUGCUUUACCAACACCAACUCCAGUGCUUAAAAGAGACUCCAGUCCCACACUGACUCCUACUUGCUCUAUAAACGAAGGUGGGAUAAAUACUAAUUAUUUCUACUUCGCAGCUAGGAAAUCUAAGGUGAAGCCAAAAAUGUAAACACAGUUCUGUCUGAUGGCCAAGUCACUAGUCCUUUCAUCCUGGCAGCUUUUAGGUGCCGCAUGAAACAGAAUUCCAUGUAAUGAGUGCAGGAGAUGAGCAAAUAUAGCAACAAAAACAAUGCAUCGCAUUACACUUAACUUCUUAUAUUUCUUUUUACAAGGAAAAAUGCUCAGUCUGAGGCUGGCAUUUGUUAACACCUCUCCAAUACUAAUGUUCCUCCCUCUUUUAAAAAAUGGUAAGCUCAGAACCUUUCAACAAGUAACAGUAGCUAGAAUUUAGUAACAACACAUUGUUUUCAGUAUAUUUUGUUUUUAUGGUUACUUUCUAUUUAUUGCAAAUGGUACUUAUUUUCCAAUUAUGGAAAUAAUAUAGUUUCUUUUUAACGUAAACUUAGGUUAAGUUUUUUAAAGAGGGAUAACUUUAAAAGACAACAUUAAGUAGUUCAGAGUGCAGGUGGUGGAGACAGAGCAGAAAACAUAAGCAGAACAGGAGGGCUGAAAUUUAGAAAUGCUGCUCUAAGUCAUACUGGCCCUCAGAACGCAACUGCUUCUGCCCCGUUUUGAACUGGUGCUUCCUUGUGGCUUGAGUAAAUGGGACAAGUAUGUUCUCUGGAACCCUCAACUCUGAGGCCACAAGAUUCCCAGCUGAGCAUGUCCCAGCCAUGAUCUCUGGAACGAGCUACACUAAUGAACACCACAUAUUCAGGCUGUCAGACAAUUACGUGAACAGGUGUUAGGAGUGGAUAUUAACAGGUGUUUGACUUGGGCAGGGGUCAGAAAACUAUGACUGGUGGGCUACGUCCAGCCCAAAGCCUGUUCUUGUAAGUAAAGUUUCAUUGAAAUGCUCUUGCUUGUUUAUAUAUUGUCUACAGCUGCUUUCCCACUGCAAUGGCAGAGACUACACAGACCACAAGGCCUAAUAUAUUUACUCUCUGGCUUUUAAAAAAAAAGCAGCCAACCCUUGGACUGCAGAGGACAGACACUGAAAUUGAGAAGAUGUGAGUGUAGUUCAAGGGCCAGAGCAGUAACUCCGCCAGAUAUUAAGUCAGAAACUCCCUCUUGGAAAUGGCAGAUGGGUGGGAAGAAAUCUGAGUGGAAAACUGAAGCAGGAAGAAGAGCAAAGCCAUGAUCAAAACUUGAGAAGCAGAGAUGAAAAGGGGCAGGGGAGCAGCAGAGCUAACGCUCUUGGAUCUUUUGGAGUCAAGAGCUUCCCCUUUGGUGGGCUAUUCUGGGCCUCCCUGUCCUCCAAAGGGUUACUGCCCCUUGCAGCUCAAAGGAGCCAUGUCUUUGGGAAACCAGGGGCCCAGUCAUGCCUUGCCAGGUGGUAUCACUAUGAACCAUGAUGGGACUGUGAUGGUCAGAGAUGAAAUUGGGUGGGGAGAGGAACUAACAGCUAGAUUUGGGAAAGUGGAAACUGGGGAGACAGAUGACUACCAAGUCAUGACAACUGCAGAAGUCUUUUUUAAGAGGGCGAGGAGGCUGUAUGAAUAAAGUAGGCAGUGGGUGAUAACUGCAGGCAUCUGAGCAGGGCGGUCAUUCCUACACCAUUCAUGAGGCAGAGACAGUGGGGUGUGACAAAGCUCUACAAAACCUUAAGAUACUACUUAUCUUUGACAAUGUACAAAAGACAAAAUGGAUUGGGCUUACUAGAAUAAAGGUGUUAAUAAAGUGGCUAUCACUAGCCGUGUGAAAGUCUGCUCCAGCCACAGGCUCAACAACACCUAUGUCAGUGUUCGCUCAUGUGCUCAUCUGCAUGGAUGUUUCUAUGGGUUAAACAGAAAGAGAGCAGUGAUGACCCUGAAGUGACCAGCAGUGUUGACUGGGGAGUGAAGGCUGGGGUACAAAGAAGUGAGCUUUGGUAGAGACAAACGCAAAUGAGAGAAGCAAGUUGGACUGGCUCCCAGGGCCACUGCUAUAUGUUUACACCUGGUGGGAGUGAGGGAGGGCCAAGUGUAGUUUUUGUUCAUUUCCAUAAUGCAAAUACUUCCACCAUAGCUAAUUUAAAGCUACUAAGGUGAUGUCACCAGACAAAAGUUAGAAAGAGAUGCCAACAAAUGGCUCCUCCAACCAACCCCUGGAAAUCCAGCACUUUGCCCCCAGCAGUUCUUACCCAGAUGAUGUGGGAGGAUGCUGACAAGUCACUCGGAAGUCCUGCUGCUGAGCUACCCCUCCCACCCAAGUACCCAGGGACUGAAACCUUAUAGCUGAUAUUCAAAAAAGGUUUUGGAAGAAACUCGAUUUCAGAUUUCAGAACAACUUCAUUCUGCAGAUAAGGAAACCGAGGCUCAGCACUUUAGAACUGCUCACCACUUCAGGCUACAUGGCAAGGCUGGGAUUAUGCCGUGUAUGACCAGAAACAAAUUCUGAAAACAAUGAGUGCCUAACUUUAGAGAGAAGAGGUAGUCCACAGUCAAGCCACAUCAAAAUGUAGCUGAUACAGGGCUGGCAAAUUACUCCCAGGGCUGCCUGGUCAAAGAAGAAAAAAGAAAGGUCACUAGGAAAGCCUCAAAGCUUUGUGUGUGUCUCUGUGAGUGUAUGUGUGUACACAAGAGUGUGUGCAUGUGAACAGGUAGAUGUCACAAAGCAUCAACUGCCACCUCCUGUGUGUUGUCAACAGGGCAAGAAACCCCAGGCAUCUUAUGUGAUAUAAUAAAAAAUUUCUAUGUGAAUUUUAACCAGUUAAUGUCACAUAUGAAAGUAGUUCAUGCUCUCUUCUCCUUCCAAGUGAAGUUUUUUCUCCUUACCCCUAAAUUUUACUUAUUUACUUAUUUGUCUUUUUAGGGCCAUACCCAAGGCAUAUGGAGGUUCUCAGACUAGGGGUCCAAUCCAAGCUGUAGCUGCCUAUGUAGCUGGCCUACGCCACAGCCACAGCAACUCAGGAUCUGAGCCACAUCUGCGACCUACACCACAGCUCACCACAGUGCCAGAUCCUUAACCCACUGAGCAAGGCCAGGGAUCAAACCUGCAUCCUCAUGGAUGCUAGUCAGACUCAUUAAACACUGAGCCAUGAUGGGAAC